UCAGAACACUCCAGCAUCUUAUCCUUCUAACCCCAGACUUGGCUUACAUCAUUUCGUUCUUCCACUUCGCAAGCUUCCUUUCAACUUCUCUCCUUACGCCGCUGCACUUCACUCACCUUCCAGCCACCUAUGGUCAGAUGUGUAACAGAGCCCCACCGAUUUAAAACACCUUGCCCACAAGGUGUGGGUAGGAAUUUUGCAUCUUGUAGAAUGAUUCCCAGGUUGCAUCUUCAUCCUUUUGCCCCUGCCAACGGACUAGAACUUCUAUAACGGGUAAAGAUCCCUUCUUUUUCACUCUUCAUUCGAGUAUAGCUUCAAGUUAUGGGCUUAAAAUACCCUGUGCAUCUACAGGUGGAAGAUGGGCUAUGGGUGUCUGAUCUGGGCUUACUCGUUUCUUGAGUAGGGAGAUGUGAAAAACAAGGUGUAUUUGUGAUGAAGCUGGCAGAUCCACCCGGUAGGCGACCUCACCGACGCGUCCAAUCACCUGGAAGGGGCCGUCAAAGCGGGGAGACAGUUUAGCAUUUCUUCUUUGGGCUAGGGAUUGCUGACGAUACGGUUGUAAUUUCACAAAAACCCAGUCUCCAAUAUUCAAAGUUUUCUCCUUUCGUUUCAAGUCCGCAUAUUUCUUCAUUAUAUCUUGGGAUUUUUGCAGGUUUUGUCACAGCAGCUGUGUGAUUUGGUCUCGGGACUGAAGGGAGGAAUCCACUGCUUCAACAAGGGAGGUGUCAGGCAGGUGGCAGCAAGUCAGUGACUGUUGUGGUACCUUCCAAAAGAUGCAACACCACCCCUUUGUGCUCCAAACUAUUGCUGGCAACUCCAUUGUCAACGCAGCCAGCUACUGGUGGACGGCCUUCACAUCAGCUUCCAGGGAUUUAUACUGUGUUUCUGUGUUUUUGAAUUGGGUUUCGGUUGAUUUCUUAAGGGCAUUUAAUCCCUCUUGUAGCUGUGUAAAACGAGUACUUUCAGCCAUUAGAAUAAUAGUUGAGGCAAUGUAAAUGAAAUGGAGAAUCGAAGGCUCUGGAUACCACUUGUAACAACCAGGAACCUAGAAAGGUAACAAAGACUCACUUCGAGGGUGAGAAUCUCCAAGAAAUAAGAGGAAGAAGAUGAAAUUUCAUUCAACAAAUUGCAUAAC